CAGCCCUUCGCGGAGGAGGACGCCGUCCUCGGCGAGGACGACGCGGAGCUGACGCGGCACGGGAUCUCCACUCGUAGGACCGUC
rnacentral:tRNA from 1 species